rnacentral:lncRNA from 1 species
UCGGUAGCGUAAUGAAAACUCGUCAUUAAAAGCAAUCAUAAGUUUUGUAUCUUCACUCUGUAGGUAGUUAUUUUUACGCCAUAAAAAAGGCUAUCACAAACAGUGUUGUUGGUCUUGAUAUUGUAACAGCCUAUCACACGAAAUAUUGGUUUGGUCUACGAGGCCGGUAACUUUGAUAUCAAAGUUUCACACGUCUCUGGAAGGCCAAUUGUCGAAAAUAUGGAUAAAAUAAUGGAAAUCAUCGAGUCAAACCUUCAUGUCAGCACUGAUUUAAAUGCCGAGAAGAACAUUAACGGGGAAAAAAAUAAAUAUUGUUCCAUUAAAAAUAAUAGUUUUUUUAAUGUAUAUUCGUAUCAUACAUGUAGAUUUUAGAUAUAUACUGAACAUGAUAUAAUAUAAUAUUAAUUGCUUGGACGAAUUGAGUUAUAUUAAAAUGACUAAGCAAUUUAACCAAUACCUAUACCUAAUA